UUCUUAUUAUUUUAAAUCAUUUUUACUUGAUCAUUUUUAGCAAUAUCCAUAACUUAUAAAUUCUUAUGAGAUGAGGGACGAGCGAAAUUUUGAAUUCGAGAUUUUCCAUUUAUAUUUUUAGGGAUUGUUUUAUUAUGAAAGUGUUGUUACAGAUUCUCCUAGAUUUAUAUCUUCUACAGUGGCUAAAUUAUCAGAAAAAGAUUCAUCAUUAGCAUCAACUGCAUGCUUCCUACUUGCUCAUCUUGUAUCAGAAAGUCGUUUCAGAGUGUCUACUUUUGAUUCAUAUAGGCAUUUCUGGUGCUCUUGGAGAAUAUGAAGCCGUGGUUAACUAGAUGUAAGUGAGUGAUAAACAUGUGGUAUGGUUUCCUCAUUGGAACCACCUGAAAUUUAAACUUACAAAUAUAGAGUGGCGAUCUUUCUGAUUUAGUGCGGUUUUAAUGUCACUAGUAAUUUACUAUUAAAGACAAAGACACAUUAACCACACCGAUACUAUCCCAUAAAGGUGAGUAAUACACAGCACAAGCUUUCUGGGGAUUGUUCGUACCACGAGUGCAACAAGUAAAUUGGGGCUGAAAUUUUGAAAUUUCACAUGUUGUAAUUUUGUAGUUGUAAAUUAAAAAAAUAUUUAUGAAAAUAAA